GAACGCUGGCGGCGUGCAUAACACAUGCAAGUCGAACGAGAAAUUCCGCCUUCGGGCGGGAGAGUAAAGUGGCGAACGGGUGAGUAACGCGUGGGUAACCUGCCCCUGAAUCCGGGAUAACUCCGCGAAAGCGGGGCUAAUGCCGGAUACCGUCCUGGAGGCUGUGGCUUCCGGGAUGAAAGGUGACCGCUCCAUGGAAGUUGCCGUUCAGGGGGGGGCUCGCGUACCAUUAGCUUGUUGGUAGGGUAAUGGCCUACCAAGGCCGCGAUGGUUAGCUGGUCUGAGAGGAUGAUCAGCCACACUGGCACUGAAACACGGGCCAGACUCCUACGGGAGGCAGCAGUGAGGAAUUUUGCGCAAUGGGGGAAACCCUGACGCAGCAACGCCGCGUGAGUGAAGAAGGCCUUCGGGUCGUAAAGCUCUGUCAAGUGGGAAAAAAGUCUGCCGGUUAAUAGCCGGGAGGCCUGAUGGUACCACUGGAGGAAGCACCGGCUAACUCCGUGCCAGCAGCCGCGGUAAUACGGAGGGUGCAAGCGUUGUUCGGAAUUACUGGGCGUAAAGAGCGUGUAGGCGGUAAGGCAAGUCAGGCGUGAAAG
rnacentral:rRNA from 1 species